GCCAUCAGCUGUCAGAGGUGCGGGAAGCCGGCUAUCACCGGGAGACAGAAGCGUCAUACUGGCGCUGUGGACUGAGCCAUGCGCUGAGCCCAAGGUUACCUCCGGUGCUGCAUCUCUUCCACAGGAGUGGAGAGAGCUGCUGGGGGUCCUGGGGGUGAGGAUGCCUGAGG
rnacentral:lncRNA from 1 species